UAAUUACACCGAGUGAGAACAAUCAGCUAAUCUUGGUGAUAAGCAGAAUUUGGAAUGAAGCCAAAUUGUUGGCCAUGGAACAGCUUUAGUGUGCUGGUAGGUCACGUCUUCUGUCAGUAAAGGAGAGAUGAAUUGUGCCACGCUUGUUUAAGCAAACGUGUAGAAAAUCACCAUCUGCAGCCUUGCUUUUCACUCACGAGUAUUCCAAGAAUCUCGUAGAAGGAAAGCUUGUAGCAGUAACUCCUCCAAGGACAGAAGUUGGAGACUGGGAUCGGCUGAAUUGUUCUGCAUUUGAGAAGGUCAUUUGGGAGAUGUCAGUGACCUACUGCUCCCUCUAUAUCGAGCAAACCUCUGCUGCUGUGUGGCAACUCGGUGCCGUCCAGUGUGUUCCUGAAUACAUCUGCUGAGCCAUAAGCAGAAUGUACAAGACCUCUUAAACUCCAGUGGGAAUGACUGGGAGUAAAUGAAGACAGAAUGUCACCCACAGUUUCUGCAGGAGAUUGCUUCCCACACUGGCUACAAUUUCUGAGCGAACUUGCUUGGGAAAGUGUAAUAGAACUACAUAAAUGCCUCCAUGGAAGAAAUUGUGUAUAAAAACUGUAUAAAUUAAAGCCACCACAGCAAUUGCACUUUGUAACAGCAAGUCCUCUACUUUCUUCAAAGACAAAACUUGUCUAUGUUGAAAAUACAGUCGGGAAACCUUCUGGGAAAGUCUGAGAGAGGAGAACCCAUUGAUCCUGUUUCUCUGUGAUGAACAGGGAUCAGCUGGAAGACGGCACGGAGAAAAGUUUAUUAAACAAAUAUGGGACUUUGUGAAUAAGGAAGGUGGUUUUUUUUUUUUUUCGGAAGAAAAUAUUUCCCUCUUAACUAGAGCAGAACCAGACAUCUGUUAUGCAAAAUAAAGAAGAUUGUUUUCUAUUAGAAACGAGGGAACGUUCACGGAGCGCUGAGGAGCCAUCAGGGCAAAUAAGGAAAUGUGCCAGGAAGCGCAGACACACGAGGAGCGGUGCGCUGAGCCCGGCAGACUUCGUCUCUGGCAACAAAAGAUGGUGGUAUCUUACUUCUUCUUAAGCAAAACAUCUUAAAAAUGACACAAAUUAAGAGGAAUAACUGAAAUAUCUGUAAAAUAAGGUGGGCUGCACUUCCAUACCCAUUUUUAGUGUAUCGAAGCCAGCACUGGCUCUGAGUUUAAUAAGAAUUGAUGCGAUUCUCACAUUAAC